CCCAUCGAUCCCCUCCUCCCAUCGCACCCCUCCUCCCCCAUCUCCUCGCCGCUGCCAUCGACGGCGCUCCCCUCGAUCCCUGCCACCGCCGUCUCCCUCCCUCAGAUCGAGCUCCCCCUCCCCUCUCCCUCCCACAUUGGCCUCUCUUUCCCGUAUGGCACGCCGCCGCCACACACGGCACCAUGCAGCAAGGGGCUCGCAUCGCUCCGACCAGAUCCGAUUGGCGCCUCCCUGGCCUCAGAUUAGGCCUGCACGACCCGGAUGCCACCACCCCCACCAUCGCUCCCAUAGUCGAGAUCCAUGGUGCAGGCCCGUGGCUGGUGCUGGGAGGCAUGGAUUCAUGCAUGCUCCGGUUGCGGGUUCUGACCAUCCUCGGUGUCGUGUCCUCAAGGUGCACAAGAGACCUCGUCUCGACUCCAAGGCCAUUCGUGCUGGCGUAGAUUGGCGUGCUCGCAUGUGUUGGCUGGACGGCGGCGACACUGACCUCCUCCGCCGGACGGCUCCUCGGGCAGCUCCUCGUCAUGUGCAGCGCUGUCGUCGGCAGGGCCGUGGUGCAGGCCUACCGCCAGACCAUCGUCAGUACAACGGGAUUUGCUUGAUGGCGUAGAAACUCGUCAACAUCAUAAAGCAGAUGGAUCCGAGGGACCCUUUCAGAAUCGAGAUGACGGACAUGCUGAUCGAUAUGCUGAGCAGCUGCACGGCUGCAACAUCACCAACUCAACUUGGAUGCAGGGAGAGGAGACGCCUAGGUCCCUGCAACAUCACUAGCUGCGGGGAAGCUGCAACUCUAGGUUAAGGCCUCCCUCUGCAUCUCCUUAUUUUGGUUUCCUAGACUUGGUCCCUGAUUUGGUGCUGCUCCAAAUUUUCUUACAUGCUUGAUUUCAUUGUUUGCCAAUUAAGUUGCUUGCUUGUUGCCCCAAAAUUCAGUAGAAUUUUGUUUAUCAAUUGGUUUGGUUGGAUUUCUCCCAAGUUAACUGAAGUUGUUACAAAAUAGGUGGUUGUUGUCCAAUUUGUUCAGUAGAAUAAAAAUUGAUGGCUGGCAUGUGUUGUUUGCUAUCUUUCAUCUCACCUUGUGUUGUCAAAGUUUAUCUUCUCUUGUCAAGGUUUUCACUGUGGUAACUAUUAAUUUGGAAGAUAAAGUGAUGGCCAAUUAUAUGUAUAUAUCCACACAACAAAUAUACCGUGUUGUAUUAUGCUUAUGCUACUUGUAUCACCAGUGUUUUCUAACUCUAGCACCUAUGUCUUUCUUUACUGUCUUGCCUAACCCUGUAUUGAUAUGUAUGUUUGCUCAAAAUUAAGUACAAGUUAGGCUGCCAUGUUAAGGCUAACCUGAGAACAUUUACUCUCUCUCUCUCUCUAUAUGUCUUUAUUAAGCUCUCCUAACCUUAUAGAUGUUUUCCUUCUUUCAUCUGUAGUAAAAUAUCAUGCAUAUGUUUAUUUGGUUUGAACUUUGCAUGUGUUUAUUCAGUUUGAACUCUGCAUGACAUGAACUAAUUAUUUUCUGUGUUUUUCUCAACUUGUUUUUAUUGUUACUUGAUACAUACUUAGUUUGUAGUUAAUGUUAUGGGUUAACGAUGGUGAUUUUGUUCUGCUUGAAUGCAUUGGUACCCCCCUCAUCUAGCGCAUGGAUGCAACGGUGGCAAGAAGAUCAUGGCUGUGUGCAUCAUCAAGCACACCAUGGCGAUAAUUCACCUCCUCACAGACGCUAACUCAAUACAAAUCAUCACGAUGCUAUCAUCCUUAGGGUGACCGUGGAAGGCAUAUCACCGUUCUGUUGGCCCAAUCCUGACAGGAGUAGGUGCCUAGUUUGUGAUUGUUAUCGAAGAAGCUCCAUGCUGAAGAACAUAGCUUGUAACUGUAUCUAGUUAUUACACAUGUGGAGCUUGUAACUGUGAUUGCCAUACUUGUAGAGCUUCUGGAGAAUGUUUGAAGUAUCACGUGUAGAGCUUGUAUAUGUUAGAGCUUCUUAUGUGUAGAGCUUGUAAAGUAUAUGUUAUUUGUACAAUAGGAGCUCUGUACUGAAUCUGGUUGAUAAUAUUUGGAGUAUUAUGUGUGCGUUUUGUU